rnacentral:rRNA from 1 species
CUACGGGUGGCAGCAGUGGGGAAUAUUGGACAAUGGGCGAAAGCCUGAUCCAGCCAUGCCGCGUGUGUGAAGAAGGCCUUCGGGUUGUAAAGCACUUUCAGUGGGGAAGAAAGCCUUGGGGCUAAUACCCUCGAGGAAGGACAUCACCCACAGAAGAAGCACCGGCUAACUCCGUGCCAGCAGCCGCGGUAAUACGGAGGGUGCGAGCGUUAAUCGGAAUUACUGGGCGUAAAGCGCGCGUAGGCGGUCUGAUAAGCCGGUUGUGAAAGCCCCGGGCUCAACCUGGGAACGGCAUCCGGAACUGUCAGGCUAGAGUGCAGGAGAGGAAGGUAGAAUUCCCGGUGUAGCGGUGAAAUGCGUAGAGAUCGGGAGGAAUACCAGUGGCGAAGGCGGCCUUCUGGACUGACACUGACGCUGAGGUGCGAAAGCGUGGGUAGCAAACAGGAUUAAUACCCGAGUAGUC